rnacentral:rRNA from 1 species
GACGAACGCUGGCGGCGUGCUUAACACAUGCAAGUCGAACGGAAAGGCCCUGCUUUUGUGGGGUGCUCGAGUUGCGAACGGGUGAGUAACACGUGAGUAACCUGCCCUUGACUUUGGGAUAACUUCAGGAAACUGGGGCUAAUACCGGAUAGGAGCUCCUGCUGCAUGGUGGGGGUUGGAAAGUUUCGGCGGUUGGGGAUGGACUCGCGGCUUAUCAGCUUGUUGGUGGGGUAGUGGCUUACCAAGGCUUUGACGGGUAGCCGGCCUGAGAGGGUGACCGGCCACAUUGGGACUGAGAUACGGCCCAGACUCCUACGGGAGGCAGCAGUGGGGAAUAUUGCACAAUGGGUGGAAGCCUGAUGCAGCAACGCCGUGUGCGGGAUGACGGCCUUCGGGUUGGAAACCGCUUUCGCUCAUGACGAAGCUUUGUGUGACGGUAGUGGGUAAAGAAGCACCGGCUAACUACGUG